rnacentral:lncRNA from 1 species
CCCGGGUUUCCUUCCUCCCCACCCUUUCCAUCUUUCUCAGGCUCCUCCCAGCCUCUUCCAUAUUCCUCUCCCAGCCCCGUGCUGACACCCCAGCUGCUCUGGCAAGGAUGGGCAGUGAUAAGAGGAGCCCCGAGCAGGGAGGCUGGGGCCUGCAGUUUCACGCAGCUGUGAAGUGCACCGGAUGGAGUCUGUAAAGUGCUGUGUGAAGCUUGCUGCAGCUGAGUCCCAUGGGCGGAGGAAUGGGAGACGUGCCGCAGAUGAGGCAGAGCCAGCCUCCCCAGCUCCUGUCUUGUUGCUGCCCUUUCCCAGUGGAAGGCUGGAAUUACAGACCAUUAAAGCUGGGAGGGGGCCUUGGACCUCACCAGGCCAGCCUCUCCAUCCUACAGACAAGAAACCGCAGUCUGACCUAGGGGACAAAUGGCCCUGGCACCGAGACUCUUCCAGGCCCCACCCAGGCGCUGUCGCUGGGCCCUGCCUCUCGUUGCAGCUGGCUUGCCUGAGUUAUUUUCUGUUCCAUCUGUAAUGAUCCUAUUGUCACAAUGGGUCUCUCCCAGUAAGAGUGCACUCCACGCAUCCCCUGAGGUCACCUAUGUUCUCUGCACACAGAGUGCUUACUAAAUGAGUCUUGAUGGACAGGCGCUGCAGCCUGCAGAGACCUCAUCUGAUGUCUCGGCCAGGCCAAUCUGCCCUUUCCAGAUGACCUUCUCUCCCAUCCCUUAAAAGUGUCCUGUGAUGCUCCCCAGAUGUUCUGCAGAAGCAUCCAGGAGAACCGAGCCCCCAGGGCAGAGCGGCAAUAUGCAGGCGCCAGGCCUUGCAAGCCCAGCAUCUUGGAACUCUCUUUGCACAGAGUUACCUUGAGCCAAAUACAAGUUUCUAGAAUCUGGACACACGACACAGUCUCGGCAAAGCUGAUUACAGAGGAGUGUCAGCGAAGUUCUUGGAAAAAAUAUUUUCAGGAAAAGAGUGUUUGGCAGCUUCCCUGAGGGGUAAACAAGCCAACAGAAAUUAAUCAGGAGAAUCCAGGGGCAUGUACCAGUAAAGCAGGGGCAGCUCAUCCCAAAGCAUUUGCCUCUUUUGUGUCUUCCUAAUACACUAGCCAGGAGGGAGGAAGACCUGCAUGCGGACUAACAGAAACCAUUUUGGAAGACAAUGUACAUGCAGUUUAACCUCUUUAAAGUGACCUUGUUAGACAAUUUGGCCACUAACAUCUCCCAUGGAAUUGUGAGAUAUGAAAAAAGCACCAGAUGCGGCUGUUUGGCAGAGUCCUGUCCUGGCUAUGGGACUCGUUCUGAACUGAAAGCUUCUAGUUGGCCUUUUCUCAGUACUGGCUGGAUGAGGCCUGGAGUCAGGAGUCAAAAGCCCAGGUCUAAACAAGAUUUGUCUACCUCUCUGUCACCUAAGCAGGACAUGUGGUGAGUGGUUCAUCUGUGGGUGCCCUCCUUCCUCACCUGUGGAAUAGGAUUUGCCCUGCCUGUCUCACAGGCCUGCUGUGAAGGCUGAACGAGGAGCACACGUUCAUCAAGGGUGAAGCAUGGUCAAAUGUCAGGCAAUACGAUUCUACUGAACUGCACUGCUGAUUGAAAAAAGCAAUGCUCUCCUUCCGUGAAAAAUGACUAAACUCUCUUUAUCAGGUGCGCUCAUUAAGACAAACAUACACACCCCUUGACACCCCCUUACUAGCCCCCAACACACAGAAACCACACCAGAUAUUUUCAGCAAGAACUUAACAUAGGAAAUUGGGUGGCUACAAAACUCUUGCAAGGGCUAAGCGUUCAUGGCUGGUCAGCCAGGAGCAACUUCUAGAACGCGGCAGAAAUGACAAAAGAGAGGAGCUUGGGCCCCUGAGGUGCCCCUUGGAGCUCUGCUGCCUGCACCACAAUGAACUCUGGGAGACCAGGACCCAGGACGCUGGAUCGAGAACGCUGCAAGUGCCACUUGGCAAACACACAGCAAACAAAUGCAAUCUAAUCUCUACUACAUCGCUCCUGUUAAACAGCCAAAAUGAAGCAGAAAAAUAGCUCCACCUCACUUCUCUCCUACAAAUCUCCCACCAGUACAAUAAUCCGAUGGAAUGUAAUCCACAUCUCAUACCUCAGCUGUAAGACAUAGUAGAAAUGUCGUUUUUAGCUUUCCAAGCUCUGCAGCUGGAAGGAAGAUGGGAUGAUGGCUAAGCAAACCAAGCCCCAGUAUCCACCCUUCUCAAUGUUCACACAAACCUUGUGCUAGUUGGAGAGCUUUGAAAGCUUAGCUGUGCCCUGUAUUAUCAGGGCACAAGCUAAGAAAGUUUCCCAAAGUAGUAAUUGUGAAAUUCUCUGCUACCCAGAUCACCUCACCUUGUCUUCUCCUGUCUCCUGGGCAAGGGAGGACUGUGUGUACCAUGGAUCCCUUCAACAGCUGGGAAAAGGCUAUGGAUCCGAUUUCAGAAUAAUACUUUUAAGUGCAUAAGGUUAAACUCAUAAGAUUACACAGGAAACCAAUAACAUUAAUAACCGUAUUUCAAUGAGAUUAAUUUCCUGUAUAAUCUUACGUGUUUAAUUUUAUGUGCUGCUUUACCAGCACAUUAACAAGGUGUUGCAGCAUGUCUAACAGCAGUUGUAAUCUUGAAAAUAUGACGAGUGUAAACAACAUUUCAGGAUAUUGGCAAUAACUGGAUUACACUAUGAAAUUAUCUUAAUUCUAUUAGCGGUAAAAGUCACAGGUUCUGCUAAAAUCAUAGAAGUCUACUUCCUACAUCCAAGAAUGAAAGACAUGCUGAACUUUUGAUAGCGUGAAAGUAAAAAUGUAUUUUUCCCAGCCAAGUUCAUGAAUGCUCAAAGGAACCAGGUUAGGAGCCCCUAACUUGCGUGACGUUCCUUUCUGCAUGGACGAGGUUGGCUGAAAGGAACCUGCUUGACUGGGGCUUCCCUCCCUUCCUUUGAAGGACUGGAAUGACCUGCUGUCUGUACACUUCACUCCCCCUCCCAUCCUGUUGGCCACACCCAGCUCCAUGGAUGCUGGGAAACGUAGUUUCUAUCUGGGCAACCAUAUGCCCUGAAAAACCUCAGGAGGCCCUAUUGCUAAGAGAACAAAAGGGAGGAUGAACAUUGGGGAAUAAUUGGCCAUGUAUGCCACACUUACUCACUUCAUAAAAGUACAAACAAUUAAAAGCUCAAAUUAGUUGAACCCCUUUGCAUGGGACUUAAGGCAAUUUGCCUUCUUUGUUUGGAAAAUACUCGCUGCUGGCAUUUCUCAGACAUUCUUUAAAGGUACUAAUUAUUGAAAUAGAUCUCUAUGGCUCUGGCAGCCAAAGAACAAAGCUCUAUUGUGGAUUCAUGAGGGUCUAGCUGAGGCCUGAUUUGGUUUUCUGGCCAAUUGAGCUGCCUCCGGCUCUCAGGACUGCUUUGUCAUCUGCAUCCUAAUUCAGACUCUACGGAAUAAUUUUUACAUUAUAGCUGAUGGCAAAAUUUUCAACCCCCACUUUUUCUGAGACAGGGUCUCACUCUGUCACCCAGACUGUACAGUAGCAUGAUUUUGGCUCACUGCAACCUCGACCUCCUGGGCUCAAGCAAUUCUCCUGCCUCAGCCUCCUGAGAGGCUAGGACUACAGGCCCGCACCACUAUGCCCCA